rnacentral:rRNA from 1 species
UACGUAGGGCGCAAGCGUUGUCCGGAAUUAUUGGGCGUAAAGAGCUCGUAGGCGGCCUGUUGCGUCCGCUGUGAAAUCCCGGGGCUCAACCCCGGGCCUGCAGUGGAUACGGGCUGGCUAGAGGCAGGCAGGGGAGAACGGAAUUCCUGGUGUAGCGGUGAAAUGCGCAGAUAUCAGGAGGAACACCGGUGGCGAAGGCGGCUCUCUGGGACGGUACUGACGCUGAGACGCGAAAGCGUGGGGAGCGAACAGG